GAGAUUAGCUUGCUUUAUCUGUCAGCUAAGUGGCGCACGGGUGAGUAAUGUAUAGAUAACCUGCCCUCUAGAAAGGAAUAACAGUUGGAAACGACUGCUAAUGCCCUAUAUGCCUUUAAUACAUAAGUAUGCAAGGGAAACGCUUUAGUGCUAGAGGAUGGGUCUGUAUGGUAUCAGCUAGUUGGUGAGGUAAUGGCUCACCAAGGCUAUGACGCCUAACUGGUUUGAGAGGAUGAUCAGUCACACUGGAACUGAGACACGGUCCAGACUCCUACGGGAGGCAGCAGUGGGGAAUAUUGCACAAUGGACGAAAGUCUGAUGCAGCAACGCCGCGUGGAGGAUGACACAUUUCGGUGCGUAAACUCCUUUUAUAUAGGAAGAUAAUGACGGUACUAUAUGAAUAAGCACCGGCUAACUCCGUGCCAGCAGCCGCGGUAAUACGGAGGGUGCAAGCGUUACUCGGAAUCACUGGGCGUAAAGAGCGUGUAGGCGGGUAUAUAAGUCAGAAGUGAAAUCCUAUAGCUUAACUAUAGAACUGCUUUUGAAACUGUAUACCUAGAAUGUGGGAGAGGUA
rnacentral:rRNA from 1 species